rnacentral:rRNA from 1 species
CCGGUCCUACGGGGCGCAGCAGCGGGGAAUAUUGCACAAUGGGGGAAACCCUGAUGCAGCAACGCCGCGUGAGUGAAGAAGGUUUUCGGAUUGUAAAGCUCUGUUAGCAGGGAAGAGGAAGGACGGUACCUGCAGAGGAAGCCACGGCUAACUACGUGCCAGCAGCCGCGGUAAUACGUAGGUGGCAAGCGUUGUUCGGAAUAACUGGGCGUAAAGGAUGCGUAGGCGGUUAAACAAAGUAUAUGUUAAAUAUAUAGGCUUAACCUGUAGGAA